CCCUUAGAUGUUCUGGGCCGCACGCGCGCUACACUGUUCGACGCAGCGAGUCUUAACCUUGACCGAAAGGUUUGGGUAAUCUUCAGCAAAGUCGAACGUGAUGGGGAUCGAUCAUUGCAAUUAUUGAUCGUGAACGAGGAAUUCCUAGUAAGUGCAAGUCACCAGCUUGCGCUGAUUACGUCCCUGCCCUUUGUACACACCGCCCGUCGCUACUACCGAUUGAAUGGUUUAGUGAGAUCUCUGGAUUGACGCUGGCUAGGGGGCGACCCUUGGCCAGACUGUUGAGAAACUGCUCAAACUUGAUCAUUUAGAGGAAGUAAAAGUCGUAACA
rnacentral:rRNA from 1 species